GACGAACGCUGGCGGCGUGCUUAACACAUGCAAGUCGAACGGAAAGGCCCUGCUUUUUUGGUGUGCUCGAGUGGCGAUCGCGUGCGUAACACGUGAGUAACCUGCCCUUCUCUUUGGUAUAACUUCAGGAAACUGGGGCUACUCCCGGAUAGCAUCUCCUGCUCCAUGGUGGGCAUUGGAACGUUUCGGCUGUUGGGGAUGGACGCGCGGCUUAUCAGCUUGUUGGUGGGGUAGUGGCUUACCAAGGCUUUGACGGAUAGCCGGCCUGUGAGGGUGAACGGGGACAUGAGGACUGAGAGAGGGAGCAGACGGCUACGGGAGGCAGUGGGCGGGAACAUGGCACAAUGGGAGCAAGUCGGAUGAAGAAACGUUGGGGGCGGGAAGACGGUUUGCGGGGAGAGAAAAGCUGUAGCCUGUGACGAAGCGGGAGUGACGGUAAUGAAUAAAGAAGCACCGGCUAACUACGUG
rnacentral:rRNA from 1 species